GACGAACGCUGGCGGCGUGCUUAACACAUGCAAGUCGAACGGAAAGGCCCCUUUGGGGGUACUCGAGUGGCGAACGGGUGAGUAACACGUGAGUAACCUGCCCUUUACUUCGGGAUAACUUCAGGAAACUGGGGCUAAUACCGGAUAGGAAUCCUUGCUGCAUGGUGGGGGUUGGAAAGCUUCGGCGGUUUUGGAUGGACUCGCGGCGUAUCAGCUUGUUGGUGGGGUAGUGGCUUACCAAGGCAUUGACGGGUAGCCGGCCUGAGAGGGCGACCGGCCACAUUGGGACUGAGAUACGGCCCAGACUCCUACGGGAGGCAGCAGUGGGGAAUAUUGCACAAUGGGCGGAAGCCUGAUGCAGCAACGCCGCGUGCGGGAUGACGGCCUUCGGGUUGUAAACCGCUUUCAGCAGGGGCGAAGCUUGUGGUGACGGUACCUGCAGAAGAAGCACCGGCUAACUACGUG
rnacentral:rRNA from 1 species